GGAGGCACGGAAGGCGGGGCCAGCUUCGCCCAGCGGGUCACUCGAAGCCCCAUUGGUCGAUGUGAAAGCAUCUGAUGAGCUCAUUGGAUGAACCCGAAGCAAGGCCGCACCCCCUUGGCCCCGGAGAAGAGGCCGUCUUGGGAGCCAGGCUAGGAGGUCAGACCCUUGGCCAUCACCCACUGAAGUUCUCUCCCUGUCCGAAUGGUCUGGCUCCUGCCCCAGCACCCACCCGGUGGCCAUAGGCACUGGGAGGCAACGUGAUCUCAUCACCCUCACUUGCAGUGGUUCCUGCCCAGCCCGGGCGGCUCCCUCUGAUCGCAUCACAGCACCGGCCCCUCCAUGGCCUUCUGGAAGGCCGAAGAGAGAAAUGCCGGCUUCAGGAUUCCUUCCAGCAUCCCCGAAUGUGUGCAUGAGCCUCAACUCUGAAGGCGCAGAUUGCCGUUAUGACCGACCCGCGUGGCCGUGCCACUGCCACGACUGAGACGUGCCUUUCAUUCAGAUUUCUUGUUCCUGGCUGAAAAUUCUAUUUCGUCUAUAGUUGCUCAAAUGAUCACUUGGUGGUGGCAGUGACAGAAGCAGAAAGUGCAGUAUUGGUGGGUGCGGUGGCUGUGGCACCGUUCCUGCGGCAACGGUGGUGAAUGUAUUGGUGCAGGUGUCAGCCGGUUCCUUCGUAUGACCCCACAGAGCAAACACGGAGCAACCGGAAGAUGAGAAUGUCCAACUGGAAAAGCGAUGGGCGGUCAGAAAGCUUCCUUGGCGGAGUGUCCCUUCC